GUCUACGAUAGAGGCUAAGAGAUCAUUUUUGUUCCUGCCAAAGUGCUCCGAGAGCCCAAGGUAUUUGCCUACUCUACCCUCUUUCUCAAUGCCCAUGGCCUCCUUUAUACGCAGUUUUUAUUCAGGAGUUGUUUUUUUCUGAGAAGGUGAUAGACGAUUUACUUGCAUUAAUCAUGUGGCCCGAUGCUCUCUCAUAAUCAUUUAAAAUUGUUUUGAGUGUUGAG
rnacentral:lncRNA from 1 species